rnacentral:rRNA from 1 species
CACGAACGCUGGCGGCAGGCUUAACACAUGCAAGUCGAGCGCCCCGCAAGGGGAGCGGCAGACGGGUGAGUAACGCGUGGGAAUCUACCCAUCUCUACGGAAUAACGCAUGGAAACGUGUGCUAAUACCGUAUACGUCCUUCGGGAGAAAGAUUUAUCGGAGAUGGAUGAGCCCGCGUUGGCUUAGCUAGUUGGUGGGGCAAAGGCCUACCAAGGCGACGAUCCAUAGCUGGUCUGAGAGGAUGAUCAGCCACACUGGGACUGAGACACGGCCCAGACUCCUACGGGAGGCAGCAGUGGGGAAUAUUGGACAAUGGGCGCAAGCCUGAUCCAGCCAUGCCGCGUGAGUGAUGAAGGCCCUAGGGUUGUAAAGCUCUUUCACCGGUGAAGAUAAUGACGGUAACCGGAGAAGGAGCCCCGGCUAACUUCGUGCCAGCCGCCGCAGUAACAC